UUCGGGUGAGGGCUCCACUGAGGAGACCGCCGAUGCUAAGGAGGAAGAAGGAGUGGACAACGGUACGUCAUGAUGCCCCGAAUCUGCCGGGCUACCCUGGUACUAUGAUGGUGGGAACGAUGGAAACCUACACCGAAAUGUGAAGGAAAUCUNUUAACUGCAACUCUAGUUCAUAUUGAGGGCUGCAACUCGCCCUCAUGAACAUGGAAUCCGUA
rnacentral:rRNA from 1 species